GUGGGUAGUUUGACUGGGGCGGUCUCCUCCUAAAGAGUAACGGAGGAGCACGAAGGUUGGCUAAUCCUGGUCGGACAUCAGGAGGUUAGUGCAAUGGCAUAAGCCAGCUUGACUGCGAGCGUGACGGCGCGAGCAGGUGCGAAAGCAGGUCAUAGUGAUCCGGUGGUUCUGAAUGGAAGGGCCAUCGCUCAACGGAUAAAAGGUACUCCGGGGAUAACAGGCUGAUACCGCCCAAGAGUUCAUAUCGACGGCGGUGUUUGGCACCUCGAUGUCGGCUCAUCACAUCCUGGGGCUGAAGUAGGUCCCAAGGGUAUGGCUGUUCGCCAUUUAAAGUGGUACGCGAGCUGGGUUUAGAACGUCGUGAGACAGUUCGGUCCCUAUCUGCCGUGGGCGCUGGAGAACUGAGGGGGGCUGCUCCUAGUACGAGAGGACCGGAGUGGACGCAUCACUGGUGUUCGGGUUGUCAUGCCAAUGGCACUGCCCGGUAGCUAAAUGCGGAAGAGAUAAGUGCUGAAAGCAUCUAAGCACGAAACUUGCCCCGAGAUGAGUUCUCCCUGAGACUUAAAGUCUCCUGAAGGAACGUUGAAGACGACGACGUUGAUAGGCCGGGUGUGUAAGCGCAGCGAUGCGUUGAG
rnacentral:rRNA from 1 species